UCCGCAGUAGCGAAAUGGGUAAAAUUGUCUGGGAGACAAUUUUACGGCCGACAACGAUGUUUUCAAUCGAUGGCAAGUCGGCCAGGAAGAGCAGCGCGCUGUUAACGCGUUGGUUCCAGGUUCGAGUCCUGGCUGCGGAG
rnacentral:tRNA from 1 species